rnacentral:misc_RNA from 1 species
GAUGAAGAACGCAGCGAAAUGCGAUAAGUAAUGUGAAUUGCAGAAUUCAGUGAAUCAUCGAAUAUUUGAACGCACAUUGCGCCCGCCAGUAUUCUGGCGGGCAUGCCUGUUCGAGCGUCAUUUCAACCAUCAAGCCCCCGGCUUGUGUUGGGGACCUGCGGCUGCCGCAGGCCCUGAAAAGCAGUGGCGGGCUCGCUGUCACACCGAGCGUAGUAGCAUACAUCUCGCUCUGGGCGUGCUGCGGGUUCCGGCCGUUAAACCACCUUCAUAACCCAAGGUUGACCUCGGAUCAGGUAGGAAGACCCGCUGAACUUAAGCAUAUCAAUAAGCGGAGGA